UUAUUUUUAACUUUUAUCAGGGCUAGCUUUUGGGUAAUUGAUAAAAGUUUGCGAUAAAUUACUUCACUAACGUAUCGCUUCGCUGAGUGCGCUCCGAAGCAAUGCGUUUUUUU
rfam:Lactobacillus casei ATCC 334, complete genome.